rnacentral:rRNA from 1 species
GACGAACGCUGGCGGCGUGCUUAACACAUGCAAGUCGAACGGAAAGGCCCUGCUUUUGUGGGGUGCUCGAGUGGCGAACGGGUGAGUAACACGUGAGUAACCUGCCCUUGACUUUGGGAUAACUUCAGGAAACUGGGGCUAAUACCGGAUAGGAGCUCCUGCUGCAUGGUGGGGGUUGGAAAGUUUCGGCGGUUGGGGAUGGACUCGCGGCUUAUCAGCUUGUUGGUGGGGUAGUGGCUUACCAAGGCUUUGACGGGUAGCCGGCCUGAGAGGGUGACCGGCCACAUUGGGACUGAGAUACGGCCCAGACUCCUACGGGAGGCAGCAGUGGGGAAUAUUGCACAAUGGGCGGAAGCCUGAUGCAGCAACGCCGCGUGCGGGAUGACGGCCUUCGGGUUGUAAACCGCUUUCGCCUGUGACGAAGCGUGAGUGACGGUAAUGGGUAAAAGAAGCACCGGCUAACUACGUGCCAGCAGCCGCGGUGAUACGUAGGGUGCGAGCGUUGUCCGGAUUUAUUGGGCGUAAAGGGCUCGUAGGUGGUUGAUCGCGUCGGAAGUGUAAUCUUGGGGCUUAACCCUGAGCGUGCUUUCGAUACGGGUUGACUUGAGGAAGGUAGGGGAGAAUGGAAUUCCUGGUGGAGCGGUGGAAUGCGCAGAUAUCAGGAGGAACACCAGUGGCGAAGGCGGUUCUCUGGGCCUUUCCUGGCGCUGAGGAGCGAAAGCGUGGGGAGCGAACAGGCUUAGAUACCCUGGUAGUCCACGCUGUAAACGGUGGGUACUAGGUGUGGGGUCCAUUCCACGGGUUCCGUGCCGUAGCUAACGCUUUAAGUACCCCGCCUGGGGAGUACGGCCGCAAGGCUAAAACUCAAAGGAAUUGACGGGGCCCCGCACAAGCGGCGGAGCAUGCGGAUUAAUUCGAUGCAACGCGUAGAACCUUACCUGGGUUUGACAUGGAUCGGGAGCGCUCAGAGAUGGGUGUGCCUCUUUUGGGGUCGGUUCACAGGUGGUGCAUGGCUGUCGUCAGCUCGUGUCGUGAGAUGUUGGGUUAAGUCCCGCAACGAGCGCAACCCUUGUUCACUGUUGCCAGCACGUUAUGGUGGGGACUCAGUGGAGACCGCCGGGGUCAACUCGGAGGAAGGUGGGGAUGACGUCAAGUCAUCAUGCCCCUUAUGUCCAGGGCUUCACGCAUGCUACAAUGGCUGGUACAGAGAGUGGCGAGCCUGUGAGGGUGAGCGAAUCUCGGAAAGCCGGUCUCAGUUCGGAUUGGGGUCUGCAACUCGACCUCAUGAAGUCGGAGUCGCUAGUAAUCGCAGAUCAGCAACGCUGCGGUGAAUACGUUCCCGGGGCU